UACAGAGGUGGCAAGCGUUGUUCGGAAUUACUGGGCGUAAAGGGCGCGUAGGCGGUCUUGUAAGUCUCGUGUGAAAUCCCUCGGCUUAACUGAGGAACUGCACGGGAUACUGCAUGACUUGAGAUCGGGAGAGGGAAGCGGAAUUCCGGGUGUAGCGGUGAAAUGCGUAGAUAUCCGGAGGAACACCGGUGGCGAAGGCGGCUUCCUGGACCGACACUGACGCUGAGGCGCGAAAGCGUGGGGAGCGAACGGG
rnacentral:rRNA from 1 species